CCUCACCCGAGAGGCCGGGCUGGGGCGCGGGGGCCGGGGACCGGAGAGGGCGGAGCCGUGUGAAAUGGCCAGGAACCAGUCCUCUGCCUGUGGAGCAGCAGAGAAGUAAUUGGAAAUGCAGAAUUUCAUGUCCCACAGAAUCAGAAUCUGCAUUUAACAAGAUCAUCAGAAUAAUGGUCCCCCAAAGAUGUCCACCCAGACAUGACUAAAUUAAGAAUCUUGAAAUGGUGAGAUUAUCAGGAUGGGUUCCCUGUAAUUACAAGAGUCCUCAUAAGUGAAAGAAAGAGGCAGAAGAACCAGAAGAGAUAUGAUGAUGGAAGCAGAAGUCUGAAUGAUGUGAUUACUGGCUUUGAAAAUGAAAGGGGUCCAGGAGCAGAGGAAUAUAUAUGGUCAGCCUCUAGGAAGCCUGAAAAAGCAAGGAAAUAUAUUUUUCUCUAGAGCCUCCAGAAGGAACACUGCCCUGCUGACACCUUGAUUAAAGCCCUGUGAGACGAAGUUUGGAUUUUUGAUCUCCUGUACUAUAAGAUAAUAAGUUUGUUUUGUUUUAAGUCACUAAGUUUGUGGUAAUUUGU